GCAUUUUCAGUGGAAUUACGUGAAGAUGUCAUAGAGAAGGAGGUUCUGAAAGAGAAGUGGUUGAAACAAUGAGCAGCGUGGAGGAAGAGCUGUUGACAGACCAGAUGGAUGAGACAGCACCGUCUGUCAGCUUGGAGACUGUCCUACACAGGAUCAAGACAGGUAAAUGCCGUCCUCCUGCUGCAGACUGCACACUUUCAAGAGUAUUUGUAAAUGGCAAAACAACACUUCUUAGACUUAAUACCUGAAAUGCAAAGCAUGGGCAGAGAGAGGCAAAUAGGCAGAGUGCUUUGAGAAGGCAGACCCGCAGCUCCAUCAGCAGUAGAGAAGAAUAAGCAGAUGCUAUUUGAAAAGUGCCACAACUGGCCUCCACCUUCCAGUUAGGUGGAGUAGCACGAGGGACCAAGUACAUUUCUCUUUCUCCUUGAGAUCCGUGGCAUACAAGUCUUCACACAUGCAAAGUCAGCAACGCAUCUAUUCGGGAAGCAUUUGCAGAACUUGGGCUGGUAAAGCUGGUCUGCAGAUUGCAGAGAGCUUUGUUCAAAGCUAACCGUGAAAUAUUCACAAAAGUGGACAUGCUUAGAAACCAAGAGAAAUGAAAGCAACCAACAGUACGGUUCCUGAAUUUCAGUACAGAUCUUUUUUUUUUCUUCCCCUUCCCUGAAGGUGGGGAGUUUACAAGAAAAAGUGUUCUAGGCAACGAGUUAGGCCAUCUGGUUAAAAACCACUCUGAGAGAAAGGGAAAGUGUAUCUUUCCAGACUGCAUUUUGUCUUUCUUGGUGAUUGGAAUAUUUGUUUUCUUUAUUUGUUCAGUUUUGCAGGUCACAUAUAUUGUCGCUGUUAACUCUUUCUGUUUAGUCUGCUUGUUCUGUAGUUUUUGCUUGGAAAAGGCCCUCUGUACUGCCAUGUUUUGGGUUCAGAUGGGGCUAACCAUGUGCACGUGUUCUGGACCCUCUGUACUGUAUUUGCUCUUUUCUCUCAUCCUUUUCUUAUAAAAUGAAAGUCCCUUGUCAUACAAAGAGAUAGUUUGCUUUGUCUAGCAGAAGAACUUUCAUUAUUAUUUCUGCCUUAACAUCUCAGCAGAGAUUUCAGUCUAUUUAAAGAUUCUUGUAAUGAUUUCAGUGAUUUUUUUAAACGUAUGUAGGGGGGAUUUAUUGUAUGAAAGUGUCAAGCUACUAAGUGCCAAAGACCAGAAGUAAAAAUACACUAGUUUGUCAGCUUUCUGUAUAAACGCUAUAACCAAUUGU
rnacentral:lncRNA from 7 species